ensembl:lncRNA
CCCAGGUUUCUUUCAUUUCUAAAUCUAUGGUCCUAUUCUGUUGUUAAAACCACACUCCCUUAUCUGCCUCUCCAAACGCUUUUCCUUCUCCUCCUUUUACGUGCUAAAUAUGCUAGUUAGUCUUUUGGGAUGUACAUUCAAGACUCAACUGAAAUAAUAGAGGAGCCUCAGUAUGAAUAAUUCAAAAAUAUGUUUCCUUGGCUUUUGGAAACCAUCCUCCGACUUUUUCCCCCUUCCUUUCAGUACUAACAGGCUCCUCUUUCCUCAUACUUUAUUGGGGUUGUAAUGCAAAUAAUCUAUCUUCUUUGAAUUCACAUUGACUGAUUGGGGGGAAUCAGGCAUAAGUUGUUGCUAUGUUGGAGGGCAGAAGAAGGCAGCCUGAAAUAAAAACUCAGCCCCUGAGAACCACCAAGUGGCAUUAGGAUGCUCACACAGACAAUACCAACUUAACUGAAUUCACAAGGUAGAACCUCACACUGGGCCCUGCACAAAGUUGGCGUUCAGUAAAUAUUUGUUAAAUGAGGGAAUGGAAGAUUCUAUUAGGGAGCCUUUUCCUGCAGCAGGGAUUGACACCCAUGGAACAUCUUGGCCACCCCUGAAGGCUGGCCUCACUCAACCUCAAUUCUAAGGCCUAGAAUAAUGCACAUUAACUCGGCCCACAACUCCUCUCCGUCAGUCUAAAUUUCCCCUGGGCUUUCUUUCUGCCCUUGUUAGGGUUUCUUCUUUUCCCUCCAUCGAGAUCUUCCUCCUGUGCCCCACUGUUUUCUAGCCUAGCGUUGUGUCAUCAUCCUUGUCCUCAGGGUCCUUUUGGCCUCUUUUUUUCAACUUGGCGAUCCCCCCCUCACUUACCCUCCCCUGCAUCUUCUCUCGCCUACUCUUCUCUACUAACCUUCUGCUGCCUCAGCCUCCGCCUCUGCCGUUUGUUACCUUUGCCUCCAUCUCUGUCUGUUUCUGCCUUUGACUGUCUUAGUCUCUGUUGGUCUAAGGGAGUUUAAUUUCAUUCUCUUCCUCUUCUCUGUUUUCCUCUCUCUAUUUCUCUCUCCUUGUUUCUCUUUCUGCUUUCUCGAUUUCUCUCCGUCCCUCUGCUCCUGUCUUUCUGUCUCUCCAUCCAGCCUCUAUCUCCUCCUCCCCGCCCCCCCCCUCCGCCCCCAGCCGCCGCCUCCGCUGCCGCCUCCACCUCCUCCCCCUAUCUCUCCAGCCCUGUACCGCAUUGCUGUAGUACAGGGGGUCACUGCAUUGCGCCGUCACCGUCAAUAGGUGGACCCCCUCCUAGGGAGAUAAAACCGCCAGAGCCGGCGCCGCCAGUCCCUCUGGCUGAGACCUCAGCUCCGGCGAGAUGCGCCCUUGCGGGGUCUCCCGGGAGCUGGAACCCAGGAGAACGCACAGAGCGAGAGCAGAGGCAGCCUUGACCUUGCGGCUCUCAGAGGGCGGUCGCUUUGGCUACUUCUGAGAAAGGGUCUGAGACCAGGGCCUCUCCAGGGUCACCUCUGCUUUCCCGGUAAGACAAUUGCUUGCCCGCCGCAGGGGAUUCUUAGAAUGGCAAACUGAAGUGAGAUGGGGAGUGGAGUGAGGAGGUGGUGGGGUGUGGGGAGUGGGGGAGGCUAGACUGAUCUGAUCUGGGAACUUAAAAGUACCCUUUCCCAUCUGCCCUACAUCCUCAGGGUGCCCACUCCUACCCCCAAGAAUCUCUUAGGCUUCUCUGGGUUCUAGAUAUCUGAGGUAUGUCUCUGUUUAUAUGUAUGAAUUUCUAUGCGUGGCUCUCUCUCUCUCUCUCUCUCUCUCUCUCUCUCUCUCUCUCUCUCUCUCUCUCUCUCUCUCUCUCUCUCUCCCCUCCCCAUCUCUUCCCUACUCCCCCCUUGCCUAGAGUGGGAGACUAACAUUAGAAAAGUGUCUGUGGGUGAGACAGGUGGGAGUAGGUUUUGACAGGACCCUAGGGAACUGUCAUCCUUUGGUGUCUUGAAUUUGGGAACAGACUCGAUCCAACCAGAUCCUUGGCACCUUUUGGUUCUUAGGAAACCUCAACUCUGCAUGGCUAGGAUAGGAUCUAACCCUAAUUUCUCUCAAGGGGUCACUAUAGAGCAUCACUAGACUUCUCUUCCCAACCAGGAGCAGCUAGGGCCAACAAGAUCCCAGCCAAGCAGGCUUGGGUGGUUGGAUUUUUUUGGCUCUUCUGGCCAGCCCUGACCCUUCAGCUCAUACCCAAGGAGAAAGGGCCAGAGCUGAAUCUAUUUUGAGUUGUGUCCUUAUCUGGAC